ACGCUGGCGGCGUGCCUAAUACAUGCAAGUCGAGCGAAUGGAUUAAGAGCUUGCUCUUAUGAAGUUAGCGGCGGACGGGUGAGUAACACGUGGGUAACCUGCCCAUAAGACUGGGAUAACUCCGGGAAACCGGGGCUAAUACCGGAUAACAUUUUGAACUGCAUGGUUCGAAAUUGAAAGGCGGCUUCGGCUGUCACUUAUGGAUGGACCCGCGUCGCAUUAGCUAGUUGGUGAGGUAACGGCUCACCAAGGCAACGAUGCGUAGCCGACCUGAGAGGGUGAUCGGCCACACUGGGACUGAGACACGGCCCAGACUCCUACGGGAGGCAGCAGUAGGGAAUCUUCCGCAAUGGACGAAAGUCUGACGGAGCAACGCCGCGUGAGUGAUGAAGGCUUUCGGGUCGUAAAACUCUGUUGUUAGGGAAGAACAAGUGCUAGUUGAAUAAGCUGGCACCUUGACGGUACCUAACCAGAAAGCCACGGCUAACUACGUGCCAGCAGCCGCGGUAAUACGUAGGUGGCAAGCGUUAUCCGGAAUUAUUGGGCGUAAAGCGCGCGCAGGUGGUUUCUUAAGUCUGAUGUGAAAACCCACGGCUCAACCGUGGAGGGUCAUUGGAAACUGGGAGACUUGAGUGCAGAAGAGGAAAGUGGAAUUCCAUGUGU
rnacentral:rRNA from 1 species